rnacentral:rRNA from 1 species
UACAGAGGGUGCAAGCGUUAAUCGGAAUUACUGGGCGUAAAGCGUGCGUAGACGGUCAUGUAAGUCGGGUGUGAAAACCCGGGGCUCAACUCCGGGCUUGCAUUCGAUACGGGCAGGCUAGAGUUCGGUAGGGGAGUCUGGAAUUCCUGGUGUAGCGGUGAAAUGCGCAGAUAUCAGGAGGAACACCGGUGGCGAAGGCGGAUCUCUGGGCCAUUACUGACGCUGAGGAGCGAAAGCGUGGGGAGCGAACAGG